CUCUUUGUUUUUCGUUUUAUUUAUUUACGUUGAUUAUGCAUGUUCGCGCUUUCUUUGAUUAGGAAAGGGCGGACUCCAGUGCUAAAUUUGGGCUUGGCCUUUUCUUGUGGCUCGACCACCUUAGCUUUGAGCUUCGACUUUCUACUCUGAUAAGUAUAAUAUUUGUUCCUAACUUAUUGGGGAAGCUUGGUGCUUUCCUAAGCUUAAAUUACUUGUUUAUUUUGGAGUCUGCCCUCUCUCUUUCUUCUACUUUCAUUAUUUCCCUUUACAUGGCCUCACAAGCCUCUUAAAAGUUACAGCUUAACCGCUUGGUGGCUAAAGAUUUUAAGGUGGGUCCGAGGCUGUUAUAGUGACAUAUUGCGUCUUACAUUUAUGUUCAUAGAACUUAUGAUUUAAUUACCAACUAUCUAACGGCUAUUUAUUCCUUCUAUUCGAUAGAAUAACUGCAUAUCCGGUGAGAAUCAACCUUCGAUCUUUUUUAUGAGGACUUUCAGCGGCACUGUUUGCGAUAGAAAGAGCCUUCCGUUUACCAUGUUAUGUUGGGCCGGGUUUAUUCGUCGGCAUAACGGCGAUAAACUGUAUUGGAACCGCUGCCAAGCGUCAUUUUUCGUGACUUCGUUCAAUCCUAGAUUUUUGUGAAUACGUCUGCUUUCUCAAGAUUUGGACCAGUCAUCUCUGAAAUAAAAGUUCCAUUUUGUU